rnacentral:misc_RNA from 1 species
GAGGUUUUUAUAUUACGAAGAUGGGGAUUGGGUAGAUUACCCUCAGAUAACUGUCAAGUUGAUUAGGGAACAGUUUCAGAUUAAAAAUGCGGCAAUUGAAGUUGAAUUUGAUGGUCGUCAUUUGCUGCUAGAUGCUUUGUACAUGAUCCAAGUGGAACUGAAAACAGCUAUUCAGCAGCACAUUGCCUGGAUUGACGACAAUGGUCGAUGUUUCUUUCCAGAAUUUUAUUCGGAUGACAGUGUGAUGCAUCAGUUCCACCAACAUGAGCUGGAAGAUGCUUCUGCUGUUGCAUUAUCAGGCCAUACAGGAAUGAGAGAGAUCAAUUUGCAUCUUGAAAUUGGAAUAAC